GCUAGGCACCAUAAGGCCCUGCUGUUCGUGGCUUUGACCCUUGGACAGUGCCGCAGGAGGCAAUGUGGACACCAAAUCCUGCUGGAGGCCCAGCCCUGAGGGUAGGCGGUUGAGCCCCAGAUGUCCCCGGCCUGCUUCCAGAACAAGGGCCGGCCCGCGGAGCUCGUUUGGCACACACUGAAAACCACGAGCAAAUUGCCAGUGGGAGUGCCGUGUGCCACGUUGAUGUGCGGCAUGAUGAAAUCAAGCUGAUUAACACAGGCUUAAGUUUUAAAGAGAGUUUGCUGUUGAUAUCGAGAAACACAACGGAAGUUCCCACAGUGACUUGCUAUCCUGGACUUGACUGAAUUUAUCAGUCCUGAAUGCUUUUGGUGGAGUCCUCGGGGUUUUCUGUCAUAAGAUCACGCCAUCAGCAAACAGGGAGAGUCCUGCUUCUUCUCCUUUCCUGUUUGGGUGCCUUUUGAUUCCCCUUCCUUUUUCUUGCUGAGUUUCCCUGGCUGGGACUUCAGCACCAUGCUGAACGCACCACACGCGGCCCCAUUUAUGACUCAGCAGCUUAACGGGGUCUUCCGGGGCCUGGCGCGUGAGGGAUCCCCAGGCGAUGCCUCCUGCCCGGGCUUGGUCCUGGGGUCUCCAUCAAGAGCCGAGCUCCUGGCUAGCCCUGGCAUCUCUUGGAAUCUGUUUCUCUGGUCAGCCAGGGAAACCUGAGCUGCUAAGACUCUGAGACUUCAGUGGGCAGAGUGCAGAACAGAGGUGCUGCCCAGGAGGCUGACCCCAUCACUGGGGCCAACUUCUGCCAUGCUGCCCACCUGAGAUCCUCCCAGGCCAGUCUCCCUGCUGGCCAGCUCUCUCCUGGGGACAGUGGUCUCUGGGGAUCCCUGCUUCCAGCUACACUUUACUGUUCUGCCCUGGCUGACUUGUGUCCACUUGCUGAUUCCCCAGCAAGCCUGCCCUGGUCACAUUUCAGGGCCACUAAGUUUCU